rnacentral:rRNA from 1 species
ACUCAAAUGAAUUGACGGGGGCCCGCACAAGCGGCGGAGCAUGUGGAUUAAUUCGAUGCAACGCGAAGAACCUUACCUGGGUUUGACAUGCACAGGACGGUCCUGGAGACAGGGCUUCCCUUGUGGCCUGUGUGCAGGUGGUGCAUGGCUGUCGUCAGCUCGUGUCGUGAGAUGUUGGGUUAAGUCCCGCAACGAGCGCAACCCUUGUUCCAUGUUGCCAGCGGUUCGGCCGGGGACUCAUGGGAGACUGCCGGGGUCAACUCGGAGGAAGGUGGGGAUGACGUCAAGUCAUCAUGCCCCUUAUGUCCAGGGCUUCACACAUGCUACAAUGGCCGAUACAGAGGGCUGCGAGACCGUGAGGUGGAGCGAAUCCCUUAAAGUUGGUCUCAGUUCGGAUCGGGGUCUGCAACUCGACCCCGUGAAGUUGGAGUCGCUAGUAAUCGCAGAUCAGCAGUGCUGCGGUGAAUACGUUCCCGGGCCUUGCACACACCGCCCGU